rnacentral:misc_RNA from 1 species
UCCGAGUUGUCCCCGGCAGUCCUUUUAGAGUCCCCGGCAUUACCCGCUGGCAACUAAAAGCAGGGGUUGCGCUCGUUGCGGCACUUAAGCCAACACCUCACGGCACGAGCUGACGACAGCCAUGCAGCACCUGUGCUAGCCCCUUACGGACACGGGCUUUCACCCGCUUUAACUAGCAUGUCAAGCCUAGGUAAGGUGGGGAUGACGUUACGGUCUUACU